rnacentral:rRNA from 1 species
GUGGGGAAUCUUCCGCAAUGGACGAAAGUCUGACGGAGCAACGCCGCGUGAGUGAAGAAGGUUUUCGGAUCGUAAAGCUCUUUCGUUAGGGACGAACGUGCUCUUUGUGAAUAAUGAGGAGUAAUGACGGUACCUAAAUAAGAAGCCACGGCUAACUACGUGCCAGCAGCCGCGGUAAUACGUAGGUGGCAAGCGUUGUCCGGAAUUAUUGGGCGUAAAGUGCGCGCAGGCGGGAUAUCAAGUCUGUCUUAAAAGUGCGAGGCUCAACCUCGUGAGGGGACAGAAACUGGUAUUCUUGAGUGUCGGAGAGGAAAGUGGAAUUCCAAGUGUAGCGGUGAAAUGCGUAGAGAUUUGGAAGAACACCAGUGGCGAAGGCGACUUUCUGGACGAUGUCUGACGCUGAGGCGCGAAAGCUAGGGGAGCGAACGGGAUUAGAUACCCUUGUAGUCC